GUAGGGAAUCUUCGGCAAUGGACGAAAGUCUGACCGAGCAACGCCGCGUGAGUGAAGAAGGUUUUCGGAUCGUAAAACUCUGUUGGUAGAGAAGAACGUUGGUGAGAGUGGAAAGCUCAUCAAGUGACGGUAACUACCCAGAAAGGGACGGCUAACUACGUGCCAGCAGCCGCGGUAAUACGUAGGUCCCGAGCGUUGUCCGGAUUUAUUGGGCGUAAAGCGAGCGCAGGUGGUUUAUUAAGUCUGGUGUAAAAGGCAGUGGCUCAACCAUUGUAUGCAGUGGAAACUGGUAGACUUGAGUGCAGGGGAGGAGAGUGGAAUUCCAUGUGUAGCGGUGAAAUGCGUAGAUAUAUGGAGGAACACCGGUGGCGAAAGCGGCUCUCUGGCCUGUAACUGACACUGAGGCUCGAAAGCGUGGGGAGCAAACAGGAUUAGAAACCCCUGUAGUCC
rnacentral:rRNA from 1 species